ensembl:lncRNA
CCAGGCCCUGUGUGAGUGGAGGGGAUACAGCAGGGAGCACGAUGGGGUAGAGAUGUUCUCUCCAGUGGUGAAUGCUAAAGGGGAGGAGCCCAGAAAUGAGAUGAUCUGCCAGUCCUGGUGCACAGACGGCUGCCUUGUUUGAUUUCUCAACCCUGUCCUGAAUGGGGUUCAGCUGACUCUUGACUCUCCUGCGGAGAGAGAGGGCACCAGGGUGCUCGAGGUGUCCGCUCCCCAGCCUGGGCCAACUACUCGCUUUGUUUCUCACUCAGAGCCACCCUGGCCAUUUCAGAUGCAGCCAGCCUAGGGGCUUAGCCCAGAGGCAGCUGUGGGGCGUGGGCCUGGCAGCAGGCAGGCUGGCCAGUGGGCGGGCAGACAGGCAGCAGGAGAACACUCGAGAAUUAACCUCGACCAGGACUAGGCGUCCCCUCAGAGGACGCAAGGAUCACGGACAUCUCCUCUCCUGCCUUUUGAAGAUUUAGACAUGGCUCGAGAGCACAAGCCCGGCCCUGCCCAGCCAAGCCAGAAGAGGCAGCGGGGCAUAGCCAUCUCCUGGUGCGGUAACUAUGACCUGGACUACGAGGGGUACAGGGAAGAUGUCCCCUACAGGGUGUAUGAAUACCGCAGGAUCCCUCCACUCCUCAACCGUGUGCCUGUCAAGAUCCGGAGGACCCAUGUGGGCGUCGGAGUGAAGAGCAGCUUCAGUCCUCACAAGGCCCCCAGGAAUAGCCAACUGCCCCCAGGGCAGAUAAAACUGCGGACUAAGGAGCUGCACUCCAUCAGAGGGGAGCUGAGCCAGAUCAAAGCCCAGGUGGACUGCCUAUUGGAGAGUCUGGAGCGCAUGCACCAGCAGAGGGAGCAGCAUCCAGGGACAGAGGACAGUGAAGACAACAGGGGCCCUGAUAGUAAGGGUUCCUCAUGCAGACCUACUGAGCCCCAGCAGGAGCCCAGGGGCCAGAGCGCCCAUCCAGAGGCAGAAAGCCCCAAGGAGAGCACAGACCCGGAGGAGGCAGUGAAAAAUCACGCAUCUGACCAGGAGGUCGGCCAGUAGAAGGUGGAACCCCUCCAGGCUCAUUAGCUCUAGGCACCUUCCCAGGUGGCUCCAUUCCUUCCCUCGUGUGGUUUUUCAAAGGCCUCCCGAUCGCACCCACGCAACCAGAGUCUGGAGCCAGGGCAACCGGAAGUGGAGGCACAGCUCAUCCAGACCAGCCAGGAAGCCUCCCUAAGGGUAGCUUUAGCUUUGCAGGUUGUUUCCAGAUGAUAGUCUAGGGACUGGCAGGGACGGGAGGGAGGAGGCACAGAACUGUCCUCAUGAAGGUGAGGCCCAGUCUUGCAAGGAGCAGCUGGACAGGGUCCCCCUGGGAGCACCACUAGCCCUGUCUGACUGCAGGUACUGCUUUGGCUGCUCUUCUCUCCUCCCAAGGCCCCGCCAGUCCUGUCUGGGUGUGGAGCAUCCUAGAGCAGCUGGCCCAGACAGCUUUCUCCAGCCACAGUGGUGCAGAGGAAAUGUACUCCUGUUCCUAGUCGGCCUUCCAGUCUGAAACUGAGAUUUAAGGUCCUCAGCACGUGCCCCACAUAACCCCUUUUGGUUCCAGACUCCCUAUCUACCCUACAAAGCCAUCCUUCAGAAGAGGGGUAUCAUUUUUAGGUCCCCUUUCUAUUUUGUCUCUUGCUGGUGUGAUACUAUUUCAGAUCUGCUCUGGAAAUACUACAUCAGAAGGGGAAAAAUAAAGUUUCUAUUUCUUUUCCCUGGUCAGGGGUUCUUGGUGUGGUCUGAGAGCCUCAUUCUGGUCCUUGGGCUGCCCCCGACCAGCCCUUCCGAGAGAAGCUGAGCAGGCCUCUGGGACACACAAGUUCAGAAGCUUAUAUCAAACCAGGGCACAGAAUGGGGACCAGCCUGCCCUGCCUUCCUCCAACCCAGACCAGAGCACAAACCCAAGGGGCUUAGGAGCCACACAAGAAAAUCCUACCCUUGUGGUCCAGUCAUCCAGGCUGGCUCUGCCCUACAGAAUGGCCAGGCUGCAUGUGGUUUUCCAGCAUCUGGAAACUCCUGCUCCUGGCAGUUCAUCUGCCCUCUCCCAGGAGCCAAGACUGGACAAAAGGCACCAAUAAUGAAGCCAGCCUGGGCCCCCAUUUCUUAUCAGCAGUGGAGGUCUCUGGCUGUGCUGCUCUGCACAUGACCAAGGAAGGAUGGGAUCUGGCUUCCACCCAGAGCCAAACCCUUCCCAGCUACCCAACCCUGAGCUAUGGUCUUGCAAAGCACCAAACCAGAGGCUGGGGGUGCACCCAGUGUGCUCCUGGAGCCAUACAACCCUUCUACUCUUGUCACACGUCAGCAGUGGCCCUGACUCUGGCACCUGAAGGGCAGUUUCUCCUCCAAAACUCAUUUCCCUACAUCAACCUUUGCAGCUCCUUCAGUUUCAGCUGGUCUCUUCUGCUUGUGUUGGUGUAAGGGACAGGACACACUUAGGACAAUGCUGUCCCAAGCCCUUGACACGAGGGGUCUAAGAUUGCACUAUCCAGCUCAGAAGAGCUUUGCUCUUUUUUAUUCAUGUGCGUUGUUUUAAUAGAUUUUAUUUUUCCUUUUUCUCCCCAAAUCCCCUGGUACAUAGUUGUAUAUUUUUAGUUGUGGGUCCUUCUAGUUGUGGCAUGUGGGAUGCUGCCUCAGCAUGGCUUGAUGAGUGGUGCUGUGUUGGUGCCCAGGAUUCCAACCGGCGAAACCCUGGGCCACUGAAGCAGAGGUGCCAACUUAACCACUCGGCCACGGGGCCGGCCCCUUAGCCUUGCUUUUUAAAAUCCUGUACCAAGAAGAACCACGAUAGAAGGCUUUUUCAGAUAUAAAACAGUUUUGUUUUUGUUUUAGCUCAGCUGUAAGUGAGAAGGCACAGCUUCCUUGUCCAUUCCCUCAAAAGCAGCCCAGCUAUACAGGAGGGAGUCACUGGCUGGCCUGCAAUAGGGUCCACCCCUUACAAGACCAUAGCUCCAGGUCUCGUAAGUCCAGUUGAAGUCCUUUCGAACUUGGGAGUCAGGCUGCAUCACAGGUUUCUUCAACUGGGUCGUAGAUGGCAGCCAGCUCAAGUAAAGUUUCUUUAACGGAACAAUUCAUAAAAAGCCAUUCCAACACACCUGUCCAGGGCAUCAGUUCCGCGCAGGCCUCCCCAGAUCCUCUCCCGCGCUCUGAGUUCUCAGCCCAGCAUGGAAGCCGAAGGGGCGGGUCCUUUCGGGGAUCGCGGCAGCUCGGUCCACGGCGUCCGUCGUUGCCCUGGCUUCUGGUUCAGAGCGGCGCGGCGGCGUCCCUCCGGCGGGCGGCCCGCACCAGGCACUGCUGCAGGACGGGGUAGAGGCGCUGGCAGCCCUCGAGGCCCAGGCGCACGGCCUCAGCCCAGCUCUCGGUCGGGCCGCCCUCCCCGCUGCCCAGCAGCCCGGCCACCUGGUUGAGAACGGGCAUGAGCGCCACCGUGAGGCCGGCGGCGGCGCGAUCCUCCUCGAGCCGCGUGGGGUCCAGCAGCCAGGUGGGCGCGGGCCCCGGCGCACGGCUCAGGCCGCAGCCCACCACCAGGUCGUACAUCUCGACGCCCGCGUCGGCCAGGGCAAGCGCGGCGGCCGUGAGCGCGGCGGCCAGGGCCGAGCCGCCGUCCUCGAGCAGCAACGCCGAUACCUCGAGCUGCGCGCGCGGGUAGCGGCCCAGGCGCACGGCCGGCUCGAGCGCCUCCUGCAGGGCCAGCGCCAGCUCGCGCUCCUCGCCACCCCCCGGGGGCGCGCGGCGCCGGCGGGCCCGCGAAAGGCGCGCGGCGAAAGUCGCAGAGCAGGCGGCCGCGCAGCGCGGCCGGGGCCUCGCCGCCCGCUCCGGCCGGGCCGCCGCCGCGCUCGCCGCCCUCGGCCUGGCGCGGACCAGACACGGCGCACAGCACCUUGGUGCCCCCCGCCUCCAGGUAGGCCGAGCCCUUGGCCUGGCUCAGCAGCCCGGCGCGCGCGUACACGGGCCGCAGCCGCGUCGGGUCGCGAGCGGCGGGCGCCUCCUCCUCGUCGGCGGCGUACAGCUGCGGCGGCUGCGACUCCUCCGGGCCGCGGAUGCGGCGGUGGUCCCCGGGCAUGGCGGCGCCGGGCGUGUGCGCCGCUUCCGCCCGCCCGGCCUAGCGUGCGUGCUCUUCCGCUCGCUUAAAGCCGCGCGCCCGCGCGAAGGCUGUCGGGAUUGCGGAGGGCGGCGCCGCACCGCCCCCUACUGCCCUGGAGGGAGAAGGGCGAGUGCUGCCCAGCCCCUGGGCCGCAGCAAGGACGCGCAGAGCUCGAUGGCUUGAGGGAU